rnacentral:rRNA from 1 species
AUUGAACGCUGGCGGCAGGCCUAACACAUGCACGUCGAACGAGUGGCGGACGGGUGAGUCAUGUCUGGGAAACUGCCUGGCGGUGGGGAAUAACUACUGGAAACGGUAGCUAAUACCGCAUACCAUCUGCUGUGCCCAGAUGGGAUUAGCUAGUAGGUGGGGUAAAGGCUCACCUAGGAGACGAUCCCUAGCCGGUCUGAGAGGAUGACCAGCCACACUGGAACUGAGACACGGGCCAGCCUCCUACGGGAGGAAGCAGUGGGGAAUAUUGAGGCAUGGGAGGAAGCCGGAGGGAGCACUGCCGCGUGUAUGAAGAAGGCCUUCGGGGGGUAAAGUACGUUCAGCGGGGAGGCGUUUCCCGGAGAAGAAGCACCGGCUAACUCCGUGCCAGCAGCCGCGGUAAUUC